UUUCCCUGGGAUCCCUGUGGUUUAGCUGUUCCUGUCACUGCCAAGUUCGUUUGUUGAAACCGCCACCCCCAGGAUGAUGGCACAGGAGGGGCUGGUCGGAUCAGGAAAGCAGAACACUUCUGAGACUUCAUGCCCCUGCAAAAGAAGUCCCAAGAGACACACCCCUUCUACCCUGGGGACACACAGACCAUCAGGCACCUUUCCCUGAACCCGGAAGCCGGCCGGCCAGCCCUCCUGUACACUCCUAGUCUGCAGCCUUAUCUUGGACUCUAGGCUGCAGGAACAUUGAGAAGUACAUUGUGUGAUUCAUGGGCCACCAGUUACAGGAGUGCAGACCUGGGUGACAGGGGUGGGCCUGUGAGCUAGGGGCUCAACCCCAGGUUUGCAGAACAGUGGAGGGGCCCGACUGGAACCCAGGCAGGAGAGGGGGACUGGCUGGCCCUGCUUCCUGACUGUUCUCCUGUUGGUACUGCCUAUGCCCUAGGCAGAUGGGGGUUCAGACUCCUUAGCUCUCUCAGCCUUCUGAAGCCGUAGGUGCGGGUUUGGGCAGGUCAGAGGGUAGACACCAGGACCUGUUUAUCUGUCCCUGUGUUUCCUUUGUUUCAGUUUUGAUUUUUUUUUCCUUUUUUUGAAGACAAUGUCUUACACUCUACUUCAGGCUAGCCCUAAACUUAGUACUACAGCCCAGGCUAGCCCUGGACUCACAGAAAUCCUGCUUCAGCCUCCUCUGGAAUUACAGGUGUGAGCCACCCUGUCUAUAAUCUAAUUUUUAAGUGGAUCUAUUAUGUUGUAGGUAGAUUGUAUCUCAAUAAAGUUAACUU
rnacentral:lncRNA from 1 species